rnacentral:rRNA from 1 species
GCUUACGACCACACCGGCCUGAGUACGCCUGAUCUCGUCUGAUCUCGGAAGCUAAGCAGGUCGGGCCUGGUUAGUACUUGGAUGGGAGACGCCUGGGAUACCAGGUGCUGUAAGCU